rnacentral:misc_RNA from 1 species
CUAUCACAAAGAGAAAAGUAGAAUUUAAAAAAUACAUUUACCAUCUCUCUAUAUUAAUUCUAGACAUAAAACCAUCUUUAUCUUGAUUGUUACCUAGUUACAAUUGUACUUGAAUCAAUAAUUUUCUUAGUACCAAAUAAACCAUUAGGUUUAUAUGCGAAUAAAAUUAGAAGAAAAAAAAAAUCCAUUUCACUUGCAAUUUUGGCAAUGGAAAGAGCAAGACCCAAUGGAAGAGAAAGCGAAGGACAUGAGAACAGUAUCAAUGGAGAGGCGCAAAAGUUGAUGAAAAUUAGGUUUUUGGCUUAGAAUGAUCUGUGGGAUACCAAAUAUAAUUGUGUUUGAAGUAGAAAUUAGUAUCUGUGCAUGAGCCUAAGUGUUAUAAUAUUUAAAUUUUCAUUAUAUUUAAACCAAUAAUAUUAUUGCCUAUCUAAAUGAGCUUUUACAGUAGUAACGUAGGUGGAGUUUUUUGAGCCAAGGAGGAGGGG